rnacentral:tRNA from 1 species
UGCUUUAAAGUCAAAUAGCGACGUAAGUUUUGUAAUCUUAAGAUUGAAUUUAAAUUCUGAAGCAA